CUUCAUCGGCGUAUCUGAUGUCGUUUGCAGGACAUAUGCUAGAGAAGAUCCUUCAUGUUUUUGAACAAUUCCUUGCCUUGUGGUUUCCCAACAACACACUCAGCCUCCGAUGCAGGAUAACUGCGGAUUCAUUUUGAGUGCUAAUCAAGAUCAACCUU